rnacentral:rRNA from 1 species
UACGGGGGGAGCAAGCGUUGUUCGGAUUUACUGGGCGUAAAGGGCGCGUAGGCGGUCAGCACAAGUCAGUUGUGAAAUCUCCGGGCUUAACUCGGAACGGUCAACUGAUACUGUGCGACUAGAGUGCAGAAGGGGCAACUGGAAUUCUCGGUGUAGCGGUGAAAUGCGCAGAUAUCAGGAGGAACACCGAUGGCGAAGGCAGCUCGCUGGGACGGUACUGACGCUGAGGCGCGAAAGCGUGGGGAGCAAACAGG